rnacentral:lncRNA from 1 species
UUUUAACACUAUAAAAAAGUGUAAGGUGGUGAGAAAGUUGAAGGUUACGUACUUUCCUAGAAAUAUCAAAGUAGCAAGUUAUAUAUUGGAGUUUGAAGAGGUCAUACAAUGUCCUAGAAACACGUUUGGAUUUGACAUAAGAAGAAAGGAAAAGUGGCUAACUAAGGAAAGGUUGUGAGGCAAACUUUGAAAAGCAAGAAGAUUUGGCUGUUUACACAAUCUAAGUGAGGUCAUCUCAAAGUAAAUUUGGCAAGUACAAAUUGAGAUUUGGAAAAUAGGUUUGCUCUUGGCUUGUUGCUGAGCAGUUUCUAAGGUAAGAUUUGUGAAGAACUCUUCUUCUAUGUAUUUUGUAUGUUUUGCAGUAGUAAUACGGAGUAUACAUUUUAUACUUUUCAAUUUCAUAGUUGUAAAAUCUUGUGUUGUCUAAUUCAUCAUCACACAUUUGAUAGACUAAUGCUCAUACAGAGAUAUAUUUCUCCUAGUCUUACCCAUAGUAUUAGUAUUAUUAUUGUAUUUUCUUAUUCUAAGAUCUUUGUUAUUAUACGUUGUAUCGUUCGCUUCCGUUGUCCUAUUACCUUAUUGCUGCUAUUAUUUGUUGCUUCCUUUCCACUGUUUCUUGAGCCGAGCUUAUAUCGGAAACAAUCUCUCUAUCUUCGCAAGCUAGGAAUAAAGUAUGUGUACACGUUAUCCUCCUCAGACCCCAGUUACACUCGGUUUAUUGUUGUUGUAGUAGAACUAUAGUGUAAUAUGUCAUAAGAUCCUCUUACUCCACAAGACAGAGUUAAUUAUUAUGUCAAUUUGAUCAGUACCUAAAUUUUCAUACACUUCUUUAUAUAUAUCUCUUGACUAAACCUAUCUCAUAUUGAUAAUUUUUCAGGUCACUACUGGUGUUUGAUUCCAAAUAGAAAGACAAAAUGAAGAACAAUGCAGCAAUUAAGUACCUAAAGCAUGUCAUUUC